ACUCCAGACAAUAAUAGCUGAAGCCAACAGAAGCCCAGCUGACUUUGAGACAUAUAGUAUCAUCCGACAGGUGAAUGAGAAAAUGUUUCCAGCUUUAGGAGUGAGAUAUGAGUACAUUUCCGAAUUUAGCGACUACAUCUACAAUGUUAUGUUAUCUGUAUUAAUAAUCGAAGUACCUUUUCUCACAUAUGUUUGGGAAACCUGUUGCAUUCUUGAUAGGAUUGAGUCUAUUUCACAUUAGGGCAACUCAUUUUGUUGUUGUUGAAGCAGCAGUAGCCUGAAGUGCGAGAAGCUCAGAUGGAAUUGUUUCAGAAAAAGAAAGAGGGAGAGAAAGAAGGGAAAAGAACAGCGCCAACAUCAGAAGAGGCCUUACCAUCCAUCAAAGCAUCUUCCAGCUUUUCAUCUCGCCCAGACUAUCUAUACCUGUAAUUAGGUUUGGGUGAGGGAGAAGAUGGAUUUGGUUUGCAGCACCAUGCAGAGAAAAACAAGACGUCAGGAAGUCCUUACCGCUGUUCUGGGACCAGCCCUUAAUGGUGUCUAAUUGACCUGGUCUGUCAUGUGGCCAUGGCUUCAUACGGUCGGGGGGCGAUUAUCUACAUGUGUCAUCCUGAAAGGAUUAGCAUUAGUAGUCUGUGUGUGUGUGUGUGUGUGUGUGUGUGUGUGUGUGUGUGUGUGUGUGUGUGUGUGUGUGUGUGUGUGUGUGUGUGUGUGUGUGUGUGUGUGUGUGUGUGUGUGUGUGUGUGUGUGUGUGUGUGUGUGUGUGUGUGUGUGUGUGUGUGUGUGUGUGUACGGUUGUGGGUGAGGGGUGGCUGCAUGGGGUUGCUAUAAUUGCCUUCCAGAUGAGAUGUGAGUGAAUCAGGAAAACAUUAAUGAAUUAAGAUAGUAGCCUUCAACCUAAAGCUAACCCAGUGAUCCGGCUUCCAGAUUUCCAGCAUUGUAAUUUGUACAACAUAGAAAUAGGUGGACAAAUAGAAGAGGGCAAUCACAUUCUUUGCCUACUCAAAUGCAUGCAUGGGCUUAACAACACAUUAUCUGAAAGAGGAGGGUUAAAAUCUAUUAUCCAAGUGCUCUAUAAAAGAGAGGAGUGAAUCCAGCAUCUCUUUUAUUUACUUCCUGUCUCUGGUGCAGCUGUACUGCAGACACGCACAUCGCUUCAGUGACCUUCACGAUGAUAUGAAAACGAAGGAUGAUGCCUCCAGUGUGUUUCUGGUGUGUCUCAUCUCCCAAGAUGGACAGCCGUGCAUUAUUGAUCACAAAAAACUUCAACAGUGCUAUGUACUGUGUCGCCUAUGGAAGCACGUUUGAGAGAACACAUUACAGCAAUUCAGGUUUUUCUGCUAUAAAACGUGUGAUGA